CAAGAUGAGUGGACACGGCCACGUGAGUGUCUUUAACUUAAAUUUUUCAUUUACAACUAACAGCAUUGAACUGUUUGCUCAUGUAUGUACUUUGUCAUCGUAGGGUCAGAAGGGACACGCUGGAGAGCAUGGAGGAGAGCAUGGAGGAGAGCAUGGAGGAGAGCAUGGAGGAGAGCAUGGAGGAGAGCAUGGAGGCAAGGGAGAAAAGGGCAAAGGAGGAGAGGGAUGCCAUGGAAAGGCUGAUGAGAUGAAAGGCCACGGCCAUGGAGGCAAAGGCCAAGGACACGAGCACGGGAAGGGACACAACAAAGACUGAAACAGGACAAUGCCAUGUCCAUCUAUCUGCUGUAUACAAGAAUGUUGAUAUAUGAAAUGUAAACUGCAAAAAUUAAAUAAAAUGUCU